rnacentral:rRNA from 1 species
CCUUUGUACACACCGCCCGUCGCUACUACCGAUUGAAUGGCUCAGUGAGGCGUUCGGACCGGCUCAGGGAGGUUGGCAACGACCACCCAGAGCUGGAAAGUUCGUCAAACUUGGUCAUUUAGAGG